GGGGCUGUGGCUCAGAGGGAGAGAGCAGGCCUAUCAUGCCUGAGGCACUGGGUUCAAUCCCCAGCACCA
rnacentral:tRNA from 1 species